rnacentral:rRNA from 1 species
UACGAAGGGGGCUAGCGUUGCUCGGAAUCACUGGGCGUAAAGGGUGCGUAGGCGGGUCUUUAAGUCAGAGGUGAAAUCCUGGAGCUCAACUCCAGAACUGCCUUUGAUACUGAGGAUCUUGAGUUCGGGAGAGGUGAGUGGAACUGCGAGUGUAGAGGUGAAAUUCGUAGAUAUUCGCAAGAACACCAGUGGCGAAGGCGGCUCACUGGCCCGAUACUGACGCUGAGGCACGAAAGCGUGGGGAGC